UACGGAGGGUGCAAGCGUUAUCCGGAUUCACUGGGUUUAAAGGGUGCGUAGGCGGGCAGGUAAGUCAGUGGUGAAAUCCUUGAGCUUAACUCGAGAACUGCCAUUGAUACUAUCUGUCUUGAAUAUUGUGGAGGUAAGCGGAAUAUGUCAUGUAGCGGUGAAAUGCUUAGAUAUGACAUAGAACACCUAUUGCGAAGGCAGCUUACUACGCAUAUAUUGACGCUGAGGCACGAAAGCGUGGGGAGCAAACAGG
rnacentral:rRNA from 1 species